GGAACCCAGCAGAUGAAACUCACUGCAUAAAUUGUCCCAGAGGAACUAUACCAGAUAUUUACCAUGAAAACUGUCAGCACAUUCCAGAGGACUAUUUAAAACCGGAAUCUUUAUAUGCCAUAGGUGCUAUGACUUUCAGUAGCCUGGGAAUAGUGAUGACACUUUUUGUGGUUGGAGUUUUCCUAAAGAACAACGAUACACCUAUAGUUCGAGCCUCUGGUCGCGAGCUAAGUUACGUUCUAUUAAGUGGAAUACUCCUGUGCUAUGGUGUCACAUAUGCAUUGGUUUUCAAACCGAAUGAUAUUGUAUGUGGCGUGCAAAGAUUUUGGUCCGGCUUUUCUUUCACUGUAGUUUAUGCAGCACUUUUGACAAAAACCAACAGAAUCGCGCGAAUAUUCAAUGCAAGCACGAAAUCUGCAAAGCGACCUUCAUUCAUUAGUCCACACUCACAAUUAGUUAUAUGUGGUAUCCUCAUAUCGUUC